rfam:Nicotiana sylvestris Nsyl_contig131019, whole genome shotgun sequence.
UAGACAGAUUAUUGUAUUCGGCUAUAUUCACGAUAUGUAUUUGUGAAUACAGUAACGUAAAUAGCGCAAUUCAUGGUCUAUUCAGCAGUUUUUAAAUGGAAAGUGAAUCAAUUAACAUAAUAAACUCCU